rnacentral:rRNA from 1 species
UACGUAGGUGACCAGCGUUGUCCGGAUUUACUGGGCGUAAAGAGCGCGCAGGCGGUCGUUCAAGUCGAGUGUGAAAGCCCCCGGCUCAACUGGGGAGGGUCAUUCGAUACUGAUCGACUUGAAGGCAGGAGAGGGAAGCGGAAUUCCCGGUGUAGUGGUGAAAUGCGUAGAGAUGCGGAGGAACACCGAUGGCGAAGGCAGCCCCCUGGGCUAACACUGACGCUGAGGCACGAAAGCGUGGGGAGCAAACAGG